rnacentral:rRNA from 1 species
GAUGAACGCUGGCGGCGUGCCUAAUACAUGCAAGUCGAGCGAACAGGCGAGGAGCUUGCUCCUCUGACGUUAGCGGCGGACGGGUGAGUAACGCGUGGAUAACCUACCUAUAAGACUGGGAUAACUUCGGGAAACCGGAGCUAAUACCGGAUAAUAUAUUGAACCGCAUGGUUCAAUAGUGAAAGACGGUUUUGCUGUCACUUAUAGAUGGAUCCGCGCCGCAUUAGCUAGUUGGUAAGGUAACGGCUUACCAAGGCAACGAUGCGUAGCCGACCUGAGAGGGUGAUCGGCCACACUGGAACUGAGACACGGUCCAGACUCCUACGGGAGGCAGCAGUAGGGAAUCUUCCGCAAUGGGCGAAAGCCUGACGGAGCAACGCCGCGUGAGUGAUGAAGGUCUUCGGAUCAUAAAACUCUGUUAUUAGGGAAGAACAAAUGUGUAAGUAACUAUGCACGUCUUGACGGUACCUAAUCAGAAAGCCACGGCUAACUACGUG